UACGGAGGGUGCAAACGUUGUUCGGAAUCAUUGGGCGUAAAGGGCUCGCAGGCUGUCUGGCAGGUCGGGUGUGAAAUCCCGGGGCUCAACCCCGGAAUUGCGCUCGAAACCUUCAGACUUGAGUUACUGAGGGAGAGGUAGAAUUCCUGGUGUAGAGGUGAAAUUCGUAGAUAUCAGGAGGAAUACCGGUGGCGAAGGCG
rnacentral:rRNA from 1 species